GUCCGCGCCGUAAACGAUGAUAGCUGGCCGUGCGGGAGCGAUCCUGCGGGGCUGAGGGAAACCAUUAAGCUAUCCGCCUGGGGAGUACGCCCGCAAGGGUGAAACUCAAAGGAAUUGACGGGGGCCCGCACAAGCGGUGGAACAUGUGGUUUAAUUCGAUGAUACGCGAGGAACCUUACCCGGGCUCGAACGCCGCAGGGAUUAUCCGGAAACGGGUAAGCCAGCAAUGGCCUGCGGCGAGGUGCUGCAUGGCUGUCGU
rnacentral:rRNA from 1 species